UACGGGGGGGGCAAGCGUUGUUCGGAAUUACUGGGCGUAAAGGGUUCGUAGGUGGCCAACUAAGUCAGACGUGAAAUCCCUCGGCUCAACCGGGGAACUGCGUCUGAUACUGGUUGGCUUGAGUGCAGGAGAGGAACGCGGAAUUCCAGGUGUAGCGGUGAAAUGCGUAGAUAUCUGGAGGAACACCGGUGGCGAAGGCGGCAUCCUGGACCGGUAUUGACGCUGAUGCGCGAAAGCCAGGGGAGCAAACGGG
rnacentral:rRNA from 1 species